GAUGAAGAACGCAGUGAAAUGCGAUAAGUAAUGUGAAUUGCAGAAUUCAGUGAAUCAUCGAAUCGUUGAACGCACAUUGCGCCCGCCAGUAUUCUGGCGGGCAUGCCUGUUCGAGCGUCAUUACAACCCUCAGGCCCCCGGGCCUGGCGUUGGGGAUCGGCAGAAGCCCCCUGUGGGCACACGCCGUCCCUCAAAUACAGUGGCGGUCCCGCCGCAGCUUCCAUUGCGUAGUAGCUAACACCUCGCAACUGGAGAGCGGCGCGGCCAUGCCGUAAAACACCCAACUUCUGAAUGUUGACCUCGAAUCAGGUAGGAAUACCCGCUGAACUUAAGCAUAUCAAUAAGCGGAGGA
rnacentral:misc_RNA from 1 species